rnacentral:rRNA from 1 species
UGAGGAAUAUUGGUCAAUGGGCGAGAGCCUGACCCAGCCAAGUAGCGUGCAGGAUGACGGCCCUAUGGGUUGUAAACUGCUUUUAUGUGGGGAUAAAGUGCGUGACGUGUCAUGCAUUGCAGGUACCACAUGAAUAAGGACCGGCUAAUUCCGUGCCAGCAGCCGCGGUAAUACGGAAGGUCCGGGCGUUAUCCGGAUUUAUUGGGUUUAAAGGGAGCGUAGGCUGUCUAUUAAGCGUGUUGUGAAAUUUACCGGCUCAACCGGUGGCUUGCAGCGCGAACUGGUCGACUUGAGUAUGCAGGAAGUAGGCGGAAUUCAUGGUGUAGCGGUGAAAUGCUUAGAUAUCAUGACGAACUCCGAUUGCGCAGGCAGCUUACUGUAGCAUAACUGACGCUGAUGCUCGAAAGUGCGGGUAUCAAACAGG